rnacentral:rRNA from 1 species
AAUAUAAUAUCUCCAUUUAUAUGAGCAAAUAACUGUUAUUGAAGUAAUAGAAAUAAAAUAUUUUAGUGGUUUAUAGUACCGUGAGGGAAAUCUUUUUAAUUAUUAGAAAGUUGAUUAUCGUACCUUUGGUAUCAGGGUUAAUUUACUUGUUUUCUUUAUAGAGUAUUCCCGAAAGUUUGUGAAUUACCUUCUUUGAUUGUAUGUGUAUCAUCAUAUUAGUGAAUUUGGGGGUCGUUUCUAUAAGUUAUUCGGACAAUUAUAUCUGGUUAGUCACUUAUUCUUUUAGAGAUAUCAAUAUUUUUUAUUGUUUAUUUGGUAGGGGAUGAGCUCUAUUAAUAGUUAUAUAUCUUUAUAAAUAAAUAUAUUCUUUAAAGCUUAUAAGUAGCUAAAGUUUAGCAACUUAGAUAUGGUAUAAAAGAUUUAAAGUUUAUUAAAAUAUUCAGUGUCUUAUUUCCUACACUAAUUUAGGAUAUAACUAAUGAUUAAAUGAGUAAGAUUAAGAUUUAUAUUUAUGUUGGUGAUGUUCAAGUUUAAAAUUAAAAUAACAUAUAAGGAACUCGGCAAAGAAGUCUCCGCCUGUUUAACAAAGACAUGGCCUUAUGAUUUUUUAAGGUCUGACCUGCCCACUGAUAACUUAAAGGGCCGUGGUAUAUUGACCAUGCGAAGGUAGCAUAAUCACUUGCCUCUUGAUUAGAGGCUAGAAUGAAGGGUUAGACGAGGGAUUUUCUGUCUCAUAUGUUUGUAUGAAAUUAAUUACUGGGUGAAAAAGCUCAGAUUAUUUUGAAGGACGAUAAGACCCUAUGGAUCUUUAUAAAUUUACUUAAAGAAUUUGGUUGUUAGGAUCUUGGAGAAGUUUUAUUGUGUUGGGGCGACACUGAGAGGAGAUUUAUCCCUCAGUCUAUUCAGACAUAUAUCUAUGAUAUAAGAUCCUUUAGUGAAAUUAGAUUAAGUUACCCUAGGGAUAACAGCGUUAUAUCCUUUGAGAGUUCAUAUCGACAAGGAUGAUUACGACCUCGAUGUUGGUUCAGGGAACCUUUAAGGUGUAGUAGUUUUAAAAGGAGGUCUGUUCGACCUUUAAAUCCCUACGUGAUCUGAGUUCAGACCGGCGUAAGCCAGGUUAGUUUCUACCCUCAAAGUAGUUUACUCUAUAAUAGUACGAAAGGACCCUAUAAAGUUUUA